GGGAAAAAUGUUCAUUUCAUAGUAGUUUUGCCAGUUUUCUUCUUCUACUCACUGUUUUUAUUACAUUAAGAACAAAGGAAGAUAACCAUAAGGCAACACUUCAUUUUUCUCCAGAGUAAAAUGCAUGCAAAGAUCAACCAUUUGACUCCCCUGUCAAAUGUUUAGCUGCUUUCCUCAGUCCUCCAUAGUGUUAAAUUGUGACGCAGGUAGGGAACAGCCCCCACCCCCUCACCCCGUCUGACCUGUGCAUCUGUUGGUGAAAGCUCUGCAGUCAUAUUCCCCUGUUUUCACGUGCUCGGAGCAGCAGUGCAGAAAUGCUCGAGCAGAUGAUCAUAGCAAUGUCUGUUCUCCUGACCCUCUUCCAUGCCGAACUUACUGAAUCCUCCUCAAGCUGCUAUCAUGAGCAAGGUUUGAGAUUUUCUGUUGCUUCUUUUAAUUCAGUUAUGCAGCUGAUUUGUUGAUGUGGUGUGCAGCAUAUCCUUGUGGAUGCAGAAUAUUUAUCAAAGACAGAGUUGUACAAAUUAAAUUAAUAUUACAAAAUUAAACUUUGAAUUAAUUAAACAAAUCAAUAGACAAAAAAGAGGGGCACAAACAGUAGAAGUAUGCGGUGCACCACAUCCUCAAUCUCUAACUUUCUCUUUCAAAAUCAAAAUGUGCAUAUAUGCUUUUAUCUUUCAGCCGAAAUAAAAAGAGUGGAUGAAAAUGCAACAGCAUUUGUGUCCUGUCCAGCACUUGCAGUGCAUAAAAAACCAUCUAUCACUCUAUACAAGGGAAAUACAAAGCUGCACUCAACAAACCUGAGUGAUGUGGACAGUAAUAAAACAUGGCAGCGUUUUCAGGUGUACAUACAAAACUCCUCAGUCUCAUAUAAGAUUUUAAGGACUGAAGCCAAUGACACAGGACUCUACAACUGCGUAAUCGACACGCACAUCAGGACAAAGGAUUCACUAACUAUGUUGCUCAUUAAAGACGGUCUGCUGCCCAUAGAAUCAACUGUCACUUGUCCCACUGAUCAGAUACUGCCACUUAUUGUUGGCUGUGUGGUCAUCAUUGUAUAUAAUCUGUUCGUCACUGUCUUUGGCUGUUACCUCAAAUAUAAACUCAAGAACACAGAGCCAGCUGAGAAUCCCUACAUAAACACAAGACCAAGAGGAUUCAGACGACGCUAAUGAGCUCAGCAUCCAGCAAAUAUCAGCAGCGUUGCAAUAUCUCAGUCUUCCACUGGCUGUUACAUUAGUACCUCCUAUCAGCUGAGCAGUACUGCCCAGAGAGUGUAUUAAACAGAUCUACUAAUUGUUCUUGUAUCUAUUGCUGUUGUAUAUUCUGUAUAUAUACAGUGUAUGUAUGUAUGUACACUGGGGGUCAAAGGUUUGGAAUAAUUAGGAAUUUUUAUGUUUUUGAAAGUGUCUUACGUUCAACAAGUCUGCAUUUAUUUGAUGAGUAAAAAUAAAGUAAAAUGGUAAUAUUGUGACA
ensembl:lncRNA